rnacentral:rRNA from 1 species
CACGAACCGUACGAACGUUAUUCGGAAUUACUGGGCUUAAAGGGUUUGUAGGCGGCCUUGUAAGUCGGGUGUGAAAUCCCUCGGCUCAACCGAGGAAUGGCGCCCGAUACUGCACGGCUUGAGGGAGACAGGGGUAAGCGGAACUGAUGGUGGAGCGGUGAAAUGCGUUGAUAUCAUCAGGAACACCGGUGGCGAAAGCGGCUUACUGGGUCUCUUCUGACGCUGAGGAACGAAAGCUAGGGUAGCGAACGGGAUUAGAAACCCCCGUAGUCC